GGAUGACAACUAUCAGAUAACCAUCCAUAGACGUGGUGGCAUAUCGGUAAAAGAUCGAUGUAGGAUAGCUGACUUCAAUAACUAUCUAAAUUGGACAUCAUACCUUUGGUGCCGAUUAUUAAGUCAGUUGACAAUCGAAGUAAGAUGAGGGAGAUCGAAAGCAAAUCGAGGUGAGCGUUCCACUCACCAACAACUCUGGAUUAAGCUGAUUAGC
rnacentral:lncRNA from 1 species